rnacentral:rRNA from 1 species
AAUACGGAGGGGGCUAGCGUUGUUCGGAAUUACUGGGCGUAAAGCGCACGUAGGCGGCUUUGUAAGUUAGAGGUGAAAGCCCGGGGCUCAACUCCGGAAUUGCCUUUAAGACUGCAUCGCUAGAACGUCGGAGAGGUAAGUGGAAUUCCGAGUGUAGAGGUGAAAUUCGUAGAUAUUCGGAAGAACACCAGUGGCGAAGGCGACUUACUGGACGACUGUUGACGCUGAGGUGCGAAAGCGUGGGGAGCAAACAGGA